AUGAUCACUGGCAAGGCCAACGCCGAGUCAGAUGUUUACAGCUUCGGCGUUGUCCUCCUGGAGAUCGCCUGCGGCAGACGACCCGUGGUGGUGGUUCACCAAGAAGAAGAAGAUGAUGAUGAAGAUGCGGUCCACCUGGCUCAGUGGGUCUGGAGCUCGUAUGGAAGAGGGAAGAUCCUGGAUGCCGCCGACACACGGAUUGGAGGAGAAUUCGAUGCCCGGGAGAUGGAGUGCAUGCUGAUCGUCGGGCUUUGGUGUGCUCAGCUCGAUCUGAAGCUGAGACCGUCUAUCAGGCAGGCUCUCAACGUGUUGCGGUUUGAGGCGCCCCUCCCUCCCCUCCCCUCAAGGAUGCCGGCUGCAAGCUACAUGCCACCGGUCAGUGGUACAGGGAGCUGCACAUCUUCAUCGGCGGUAACACGCCAAUCAACGGCGCGGCCGCCACUCAGUCGAGCUUGA
rnacentral:rRNA from 1 species